AGGAUUGUGAGUAACGCGUAGGUAACCUGCCUUGUAGCGGGGGAUAACUAUUGGAAACGAUAGCUAAUACCGCAUAACAAUGGAUGACACAUGUCAUUUAUUUGAAAGGGGCAACUGCUCCACUACAAGAUGGACCUGCGUUGUAUUAGCUAGUAGGUGAGGUAACGGCUCACCUAGGCGACGAUACAUAGCCGACCUGAGAGGGUGAUCGGCCACACUGGGACUGAGACACGGCCCAGACUCCUACGGGAGGCAGCAGUAGGGAAUCUUCGGCAAUGGGGGCAACCCUGACCGAGCAACGCCGCGUGAGUGAAGAAGGUUUUCGGAUCGUAAAGCUCUGUUGUAAGUCAAGAACGAGUGUGAGAGUGGAAAGUUCACACUGUGACGGUAGCCUACCAGAAAGGGACGGCUAACUACGUGCCAGCAGCCGCGGUAAUACGUAGGUCCCGAGCGUUGUCCGGAUUUAUUGGGCGUAAAGCGAGCGCAGGCGNUUUGAUAAGUCUGAAGUUAAAGGCUGUGGCUCAACCAUAGUUCGCUUUGGAAACUGUCAAACUUGAGUGCAGAAGGGGAGAGUGGAAUUCCAUGUGUAGCGGUGAAAUGCGUAGAUAUAUGGAGGAACACCGGUGGCGGAAGCGCGCUCUCUGGUCUGUAACUGACGCUGAGGCUCGAAAGCGUGGGGAGCGAACAGGAUUAGAUACCCUGGUAGUCCACGCCGUAAACGAUGAGUGCUAGGUGUUGGGUCCUUUCCGGGAUUCAGUGCCGCAGCUAACGCAUUAAGCACUCCGCCUGGGGAGUACGACCGCAAGUUGAAMACUCAAAGGAAUUGACGGGGGCCCGCACAAGCGGUGGAGCAUGUGGUUUAAUUCGAAGCAACGCGAAGAACCUUACCAGGUCUUGACAUCCCGAUGCUAUUUCUAGAGAUAGGAAGUUACUUCGGUACAUCGGUGACAGGUGGUGCAUGGUUKUCGUCAGCUCGUGUCGUGAGAUGUUGGGGUWAGUCCCGCMACGAGCGCAACCCUAUUGUUAGKUGCCAUCAUUCAGUUGGGSACUCUAGCGRGRCUGCCGGUAAWAAACCGAGGAAGGKRGGGAUGACGUCAAUCA
rnacentral:rRNA from 1 species